CACACGCCCCCUCCCACCCCAUCCGGCCCCGGCGCCCCGCGCAGCCGCCGUUGUUUAAAGGGGCCGCAGCCUGACUUCCAGGUGGGGAGCGCGAGUGGGCCCGGCGCGGCGGGGCCAGUGCGCAUGCGCGAGGCGCCAGCGGCCUCCGGCGUCACAGCGGUUCCCACGGUUGUCUUAGAAACCGGCCCCCUGAGGCUUGGCAAAGCAGGAGCCCUCCGUGGCGGUGCUUGGGUGUCGGGGCUGCGAGGCUGCUGCCCCACCUCUCCACGGGGUCGACAGGAACGUCUCCGGACGGCCGCCGGGAGUCGCAACGCGCCGGCCAGGAUGACAAAACCGCAGGCGGAGUCCGGGGGAAGCGGCGCGUCGUCCCAGCCUCAGGCCCGCCCGGACGGUGUUGGGGUGAGUCUCCCCAAAAGCCUUGCCCCCGUGAUCUCCACGACAGGUCCGCCCGCCUGUCCGUGGGCUGCUCUCUCCCCCGAGGGGCCUUCGCGCCCGGAGCAGAAGCCUGCAGCGUCAGGGGGGCUGUGUGCCUGCGGGGGCUGCGUUUCUGUGCCGCUGCUGCCGUGUGACCGUGCGUGUCUGCGUCUCUCCGUCCUCUCUUGUCUCUCUGGCCCUCACUCUCUGUGUGUUUCCCUCUUUCUGCCGGUUCGUGUGUGCGUGCCGUGUGCGCGGGGUGCGUUCGGACGAAUGCGCCCGGUGCGUCCAAAGGCGACUGUCUUGCGCGUCGGCCUGGCUCUGCCGAGCCUCUUUCUUCUGCCUCUGUGCCUGGGUCUUGCGGCGGGCUCGUCAGUGGUUUCGCCGCCGUUCCACUUGGGGUCCUCCCUGAGGGCCUCGACCGCGUGAGGAGAUGCGUCUUCCCCAGCAGCAGUGGAAAUCUCGUUACCCUUGCCGAGCGGACUCUCUCCUGGGAUCAAGAUAACCACAGUCCAGCCAGGGCAAAAGCCCCAGAGGGGCUCGUCGCCCUGCAGGAGAGGAGCAGACCCGCCUCAGAGGAGACGCUUGUACCUUUUCACGGCUCUUCUCUGAGAAAUGAAGCCGCACCACGGCAGAAGCUUGAAGAGGAAGCCGGGAAGGGGAGAUGCCAGGCCUCCCGGUCCCUGGAAGG
rnacentral:lncRNA from 1 species